UUGCCUAGAUUUUUAAUAAGUAUUUGGAUGAUGUUGGUAACUUUUGGGGAAUUCAGGGUCUAUAAGUUGGUUCGCCUGGCGAUGCCGACAUCCGGCUGGCGUGUUUGUCAUUUCGGCAACCGCAGCUGUUCGUCACUUAAAUCUCGUCUUUUGUUGAGUCAACAAGUCUCCAGUGGCCAUUGGAAGAAUUUACCUUUUGGUUGAAAUAUUUUAGUAGAAGAUUAGUUUAUGUUGGAAGGAGUUAUUUUGUUUUGGGUUUUGUGGAGUGUUUUGAGGAGAAGAGUUUUUGGUUUCCAAUACUUUUUUGAAGAACAAUGGCCACUGGAGAAAAGAAGAUUAAGUCACCUUUUUAUUUUUUGGAAAUGGAAUAAUCAAUCAUUUUGGGGUUUCUUUUGGUGGAUCGGGAUUAUUUUCUGUUUGUUGUUUUGGAAUCGACAUUGAUUUUUACCAGUACUUGUAAGCACCUCCUCGUCUGACAUCCGCAUUGUGGUCGAGUAUCUCCCUAGGAUUGGAAAACCGGAGGAUACCUAUCUGGCUCUCCCAUCAUCAACCUCUCCAGGAGUUUGGAGAAGCCAUAGUCCCUACUUUUGUAGAAGCGACAGGUUUUUUAUAAAAUUUACAUUUUCAAUUCUUUUAAAUAAUUUCUUGCAAUUUUAAUAUUUUUUUUCAGUAACUUAUAACAUUAAUAAUCAUAUAAAUUCAUUUUUCUAAAAUCAACUAACUUUAUAAUAUUCAAUAAUUUUUUUCCAACAAAUUUAAUCUUUUACUGUUCGUAUCAUUCUUUUAAAAUAGUCCGGGAGUUAUAAGCUAUAUGUUAAGGUGUUGUAUACAAUAUCUAGGGUUAUAAUUCCUAUUUAAUAACCUUUAUUUCAGUUAACAGGUAUUGUACUCAGGUUUAUCGCUUUAGGUCAGAUACUGGAUUGUCAGCCAAUACUGUGAUCAAUAUCAAUAUAAUAUUUUUGCUUAGGUAGAUAACUUGUGAUUCGAAAUAACUGUCUUGGUAUAAUUAAUUAAAUUUUUGUUUUUAUUUUUUUUGUACUGUAAAUCUCAGUGUCGAUAAGAGCGUAUCCUUCUAGUACGUCAGGAAUUAGCUAGUUUGUAUAAAAUUGUAUAUAGGGGUUAUAGGUAUUUUUUUUCAUUAAAUUUGUUGGUUGUA